rnacentral:rRNA from 1 species
AGCCAGACUCCUACGGGAGGCAGCAGUGGGGGAUAUUGCACAAUGGGGGAAACCCUGAUGCAGCGACGCCGCGUGGGUGAAGAAGCGCCUCGGCGCGUAAAGCCCUGUCAGCAGGGAAGAAAAUGACGGUACCUGACUAAGAAGCCCCGGCUAACUACGUGCCAGCAGCCGCGGUAAUACGUAGGGGGCAAGCGUUAUCCGGAUUUACUGGGUGUAAAGGGAGCGUAGACGGCUAUGCAAGUCUGGAGUGAAAGGCGGGGGCCCGACCCCCGGACUGCUCUGGAAACUGUAGAGCUAGAGUGCAGGAGAGGUAAGUGGAAUUCCUAGUGUAGCGGUGAAAUGCGUAGAUAUCAGGAGGAACACCGGUGGCGAAGGCGGCCUGCUGGACUGCAACUGACGUUGAGGCCCGAAAGCGUGGGGAGCAAACAGGAUUAGAUACCCGGGUACA